UCUGGGCUUUUGCACACGCUGUUCCCUGUGCCUGAACAACCUCCACUGGGCUGAGAACAAGUCUCUGAGACCUCUCUCAGCUGUUGCUUCCUUUGGAAGAGCCACUGCUGCUGUCCCUCUCUCAGCUCCAAGACCUGCUGAGCCUCCUGUCUUUUUUAGUUCCCAUGCCCCCAGCACUUCUCCUUGGCCUCCUUUGGCCCAAUAGACAAUGUCCAUUCUCAAUGCCUUCUCACCCAGCGCUGAGCCCCACUGGGUGAAGGCAAUGCCUGUCAUGUUCACCACAAUAUCCCCUCCCCCAUCACCACGCCUGGUCCACAGUGAUGCUCAGAAAAGAUCUGUUGGUAGGCAACGUGAAAGUGCAUUCAUGUCAUCCUGCAGGUGGAAUUCUCCACGAGUUUUGAGCAGCCUCGUUUUUCCCACCACCUCCAAAUCAUGGAAGACACAGGGUAAGAGCAAAGACAAGGUGGCUGUGUCCGAUGUCCACCCUCUCGGGGCGUCCCUUCUCUUCUCUCCUCCUGGAGCAGGGAGACCAUCGGGGUGCAACCUGGCUGGGGCGGGGAGGAGGUGCAGGGUCUGGCCAGAGCGGGCCUGGCCACAGGCAAGGGACAGCGAGCUCCUGGGCCAGGACAGGUUAGAGCGGCGCAGGCCCGGGCCCGGCGUGGCGGCGGUGCGCGUGAGCGGCCAGCAGAGGGCGCCAGAGGACCACGAACGGCCCGCCGAGGAGCCGGCGCCGGCCCCGAGGCCCAGCUCCGCGCCGCGCGGACCCACCGAGCCCGCGCUCAGACGCCCCAGCUCCGCCGAGAAGCCGCUUGCACCGGCUCCUUCUUCUUCCCCAAGUGCAGGCAGAGUCCCCGGAGCCAUGGGCAGCCCUUCCCGUAGCUCCGAAGCCACUGGCGAGCCCCGAGGCAGGGAUGGCCCGCCCAGGAGGGAGGAGGACGACGUUCCUCCCGAAGAGAAGAGGCUGCGGCUCUUGCUGGAGGGGGGAAGCGCACAGCCCCAGGACUGCGAGGACGGGGAGGACGCGCCGCGGCCGGGCAGGGAGGAGACCGGCACCCAGACAGGUGGCGACGGCAGAGGAGAAGGAAAAUACAUGUACAGCCAACUUCCUUGA
ensembl:lincRNA